rnacentral:rRNA from 1 species
CUCGGGAGGCUGCAGUGGGGAAUAUUGGACAAUGGGCGAAAGCCUGAUCCAGCCAUGCCGCGUGUGUGAAGAAGGCCUUCGGGUUGUAAAGCACUUUCAGUGGGGAAGAAAGCCUUGGGGCUAAUACCCUCGAGGAAGGACAUCACCCACAGAAGAAGCACCGGCUAACUCCGUGCCAGCAGCCGCGGUAAUACGGAGGGUGCGAGCGUUAAUCGGAAUUACUGGGCGUAAAGCGCGCGUAGGCGGUCUGAUAAGCCGGUUGUGAAAGCCCCGGGCUCAACCUGGGAACGGCAUCCGGAACUGUCAGGCUAGAGUGCAGGAGAGGAAGGUAGAAUUCCCGGUGUAGCAGUGAAAUGCGUAGAGAUCGGGAGGAAUACCAGUGGCGAAGGCGGCCUUCUGGACUGACACUGACGCUGAGGUGCGAAAGCGUGGGUAGCAAACAGGAUUAGAUACCCCGGUAGUC